rnacentral:rRNA from 1 species
UACGGAGGGUGCAAGCGUUAUCCGGAUUCACUGGGUUUAAAGGGUGCGUAGGUGGGCAGGUAAAUCAGUGGUGAAAUCUCCGGGCUUAACUCGGAAACUGCCAUUGAUACUAUCUGUCUUGAAUACCGUGGAGGUUAGCGGAAUAUGUCAUGUAGCGGUGAAAAUGCUUAGAUAUGACAUAGAACACCAAUUGCGAAGGCAGCUUACUACACAAAUAUUGACGCUGAGGCACGAAAGCGUGGGGAUCAAACAGG